UACGGAGGAUGCAAGCGUUAUCCGGAAUGAUUGGGCGUAAAGCGUCCGCAGGUGGCUAUGUAAGUCUGCUGUUAAAGAGUGAGGCUCAACCUCAUAAGAGCAGUGGAAACUACAUGGCUAGAGUGCGUUCGGGGCAGAGGGAAUUCCCGGUGUAGCGGUGAAAUGCGUAGAGCUCGGGAAGAACAUCGGUGGCGAAAGCGCUCUGCUGGACUGCAACUGACACUCAGGGACGAAAGCUAGGGGAGCGAAUGGG
rnacentral:rRNA from 1 species